UGACCAUUAAUUAUUAAAAAAAUUAAUAAAUAUAUCAUUAAUCCUAAGAAUAUGACAUUAAAUACAACAUUAAUAAAGAUAACAUUAUAAAUUAAAAAAACAAAUAUUAAAAAUUUAAUAAAUAUAACAUUAGUAACAUGAAACUAUGAUUACAAAAAAAUCCUUUGAUUCUUAAUACAUCACAUCUAAAUAACCAACUACUACAUUGUGAAUGUUAAGGGAGCAAGAACAUUAUUAGAAGCUUUCUUUCUUGGUCUCCCUCUUGGUUUCUUCGGCUGAUUCAUUUCAAGAUUUGUUUCUCUAUUCCUUUUUGCUUUGAAUCCUUUUUUUCUUUGACUUUGAAGAUUUUGAUGAAUGAGCAGCAAUAGUAAAGAACUAGAAUGCAAUUCAGAUUUCAAUUCAGAUGGUAUGAAAUUUAGAUUCUUGAUUUCAAUGGAGCACAUGCUAUGUAAAGAACUAGAAUGUAAGUCAGAUGGUAUGCAAUUCAGAUUCUUGAUUUCAAUGGUAUGCAAAGAAAGCAAAUCCAACAGAUUAAUUAAGUUUUUCUUUUGGUACCUGAUAUAUGUUUGAAUGAUGUAACAUCAAUUCAGAUGGUGUGCAAUUCAGAUUCGUGUAAAUGUUGUUGGACCAUCAAAGCAUUUUAUGACCAAAAUCGCUGAAAUUUCUCUUAAGAAUUUAAACAAACACUUGGCAUGCUAGUUAUCAAACAACCAUAUCAACCAUAUCACUGAAAUUUCUCUUAAGCAUUAUAUAACCAAAAUCACUGAAAUCGUGAUUCCCAGUGAUCAGACAACCAUUUACACAAACAUAGUAACAACAUAAGUUUGCCUUCAAUUGAGUUUACAGGUUUGUCUAAAAUAUGUUUUAACAGCGAAUCGAGUGUAUAUGAAGAACAAACAUCCGUAUAGAUUGAAGAACACUAAGCUGAUUUUGCCAAUUUAAGUCGAGAGAGAAUCGAUUUUACCAACAAAAAACACCUUAGCAACUAAUCUGAGUAUAGAUUGAAGAACAAACCUUCAUAGAUGAUAAGGACUGGGUCAAAGGGCUUUCAGAGUCAUGGAUGACAUCGGAGGAGAAGGGCAACAACUUUGAGUCGACAAUGCAACAACAAGGUUGGAGGAGGAUGAUAAACUAGAGCAAAAGGCGAUAGCGUGAACGGAGGAAGAAGAUUCAACUUUUUGAUGUUUUACUUCUUUUGUCCUUAAGUCGUGAGAGAGUCGACUUUACCAAUUUCCGCGUUCGAUCUAGCAGAAAACGACAUCACAAUGAGUUUGAAUUGAAUCGGUGGAGUUGUGAACCAAUAGACCAUCAUGUGCAAAUAUGUAUAGAAUUGUUACAAGUUUGUCAUCCCACAUCGCUGGUGGGAAAAUAAACAAAGGCACC
rnacentral:lncRNA from 1 species